AUUGAACGCUGGCGGUAUGCUUUACACAUGCAAGUCGAACGGUAGAGGGGCAACCCUUGAGAGUGGCGAACGGGUGAGUAAUACAUCGGAACGUGCCCAGUCGUGGGGGAUAACGUAGCGAAAGCUACGCUAAUACCGCAUACGACCUGAGGGUGAAAGCGGGGGACCUGCAAGGGCCUCGCGCGAUUGGAGCGGCCGAUGGCAGAUUAGGUAGUUGGUGAGGUAAAGGCUCACCAAGCCGACGAUCUGUAGCUGGUCUGAGAGGACGACCAGCCACACUGGGACUGAGACACGGCCCAGACUCCUACGGGAGGCAGCAGUGGGGAAUUUUGGACAAUGGGCGCAAGCCUGAUCCAGCCAUACCGCGUGCAGGAAGAAGGCCUUCGGGUUGUAAACUGCUUUUGUCAGGGAAGAAAUCUUCUGGGCUAAUACCCUGGGAGGAUGACGGUACCUGAAGAAUAAGCCACGGCUAACUUCGUGCCAGCCGCCGCCGUAAUAC
rnacentral:rRNA from 1 species